AUGAAGAGAAUAUGUAUCCAGCAGCCCUCAUUUGAAGAUGACAAUGAUAUUUGUCCUCCGUAUAGCAAAGGGAAGACAAGUCAUUCGCACCGCAAUAACCUGGAUGCUUCAUGCGCUGAAUCAAAGGCCGCGGCACAGUUUGCUAGUGAUAUCAUAUCAGAGUUAAUAAUCUUAUAUGCAGACAAACACCCAGAUGGAUGCCAAGGCUCGAUUACUUUUGGCCAGAGUUUUUAUGAACACACUGAGAAAAUCCUGCUAGCUGGAGCUAACAUGGCACGCGAUCCUUGGUCAGCUGGUUCCGUGCCAUCUGCCCCGUCAGCAAUUGCAUGUUCAGCUAUAAAGGAUUGGUUUGCUAGCGCAGCAGAGUGUACAUUGUCUAGGGUCUGGGUCAUCCACAAGUGCCCAAGGCUAAUAUACAUGACCAGGACACACAUUGCUGACCAGCUUAUUAAGGGUCAACCGAUGAGUCAUGAGAUGUGCGCAGUCAUUAUGCGGCGGUUCGGCCAGAUCGACGCAACGCUAAACUGCGAUGAACCUGGGCUGAGGUGGAGAAAAUCCAUGGAGCCAGACUUUGAUACCUUUGCGAUUGCCGAUGGAGAGCUAACAACAAUUAGGUCUAUCCAGUAA
rnacentral:rRNA from 1 species